CACCGCCGCGGUAAUACGUAGGGUGCAAGCGUUAAUCGGAAUUACUGGGCGUAAAGCGUGCGCAGGCGGUUUGUUAAGACAGAUGUGAAAUCCCCGGGCUCAACCUGGGAACUGCAUUUGUGACUGGCAAGCUAGAGUGUGGCAGAGGGGGGUGGAAUUCCGCGUGUAGCAGUGAAAUGCGUAGAUAUGCGGAGGAACACCGAUGGCGAAGGCAGCCCCCUGGGCCAACACUGACGCUCAUGCACGAAAGCGUGGGGAGCAAACAGGAUUAGAUACCCGCGUAGUCCCUGUCUCUUAUACC
rnacentral:rRNA from 1 species